GAUGAAGAACGUAGCGAAAUGCGAUAAGUAAUGUGAAUUGCAGAAUUCAGUGAACCAUCGAAUCUUUGAACGCACAUUGCGCCCGGCAGUAAUCUGCCGGGCAUGCCUGUCCGAGCGUCAUUUCUGCCCUCGAGCGCGGUUAGCUUGCUAUCCGCUGCCCGGUGUUGGGGCGCUACGGUUCAGGGCCUCGUGCCCUGUCGUAGGCCCCGAAAUGAAGUGGCGGUCCCGCCGCGGCGCCCCCUGCGUAGUAGUCUUACAACUCGCAUCGGGACCCGGUGGAGGCCAGCCGUCAACCCACCUUUCUAUGGUUUGACCUCGGAUCAGGUAGGGUUACCCGCUGAACUUAAGCAUAUCAAUAAGCGGAGGA
rnacentral:misc_RNA from 1 species